CUUUUUUACCGAAAAGUUGACCGGAAGUCUUUCUUAGUGUGACUCUGGCAACACAUUUUUGAACAUUAAAACUUAAAUUCACGAAAAAGCAUAUAACCCGGUCAAAGUCUGUAAAUUGAUUCUUGAAGACAUUUAAAUGACAAAUAAUAUGAUAUAAAGAAAAAAAUAAAUAUAUUACUAUAAAAGGGCAAAAAGUUGACCGGAAGUCACCC
rnacentral:lncRNA from 1 species